GUGGCGAACGGGUGAGUAAAUGUGGGCAAUCUGCCCUUCACUCUGGGACAAGCCCUGGAAACGGGGUCUAAUACCGGAUAACACUCUGUCCCGCAUGGGACGGGGUUAAAAGCUCCGGCGGUGAAGGAUGAGCCCGCGGCCUAUCAGCUUGUUGGUGGGGUAAUGGCCUACCAAGGCGACGACGGGUAGCCGGCCUGAGAGGGCGACCGGCCACACUGGGACUGAGACACGGCCCAGACUCCUACGGGAGGCAGCAGUGGGGAAUAUUGCACAAUGGGCGAAAGCCUGAUGCAGCGACGCCGCGUGAGGGAUGACGGCCUUCGGGUUGUAAACCUCUUUCAGCAGGGAAGAAGCGAAAGUGACGGUACCUGCAGAAGAAGCGCCGGCUAACUACGUGCCAGCAGCCGCGGUAAUACGUAGGGCGCAAGCGUUGUCCGGAAUUAUUGGGCGUAAAGAGCUCGUAGGCGGCUUGUCACGUCGGAUGUGAAAGCCCGGGGCUUAACCCCGGGUCUGCAUUCGAUACGGGCUAGCUAGAGUGUGGUAGGGGAGAUCGGAAUUCCUGGUGUAGCGGUGAAAUGCGCAGAUAUCAGGAGGAACACCGGUGGCGAAGGCGGAUCUC
rnacentral:rRNA from 1 species